GAUGAACGCUGGCGGCGUGCCUAAUACAUGCAAGUCGAGCGAACAGACGAGGAGCUUGCUCCUCUGACGUUAGCGGCGGACGGGUGAGUAACACGUGUAUAACCUACCUAUAAGACUGGGAUAACUUCGGGAAACCGGAGCUAAUACCGGAGAAUAUAUUGAACCGCAUGGUUCAAUAGUGAAAGACGGUUUUGCUGUCACUUAUAGAUGGAUCCGCGCCGCAUUAGCUAGUUGGUAAGGUAACGGCUUACCAAGGCGACGAUGCGUAGCCGACCUGAGAGGGUGAUCGGCCACACUGGAACUGGGACACGGUCCAGACUCCUACGGGAGGCAGCAGUCGGGAAUCUUCCGCAAUGGGCGAAAGCCUGACGGAGCAACGCCGCGUGAGUGAUGAAGGUCUUCGGAUCGUAAAACUCUGUUAUUAGUGAAGAACAAAUGUGUAAGUAACUAUGCACGUCUUGACGGUACCUAAUCAGAAAGCCACGGCUAACUACGUG
rnacentral:rRNA from 1 species